AAUCCAAAACUUGGGAAAAUCUACAGGGCAAACAACACAGUUUCUUUAAGAAAAGAUUGCAGAGGGGGCAAAGGGAAAUGGAAGAAGAAACCAGAGACUUAAUAAUCUGAGCAGGCUGGACCCAGUGGCUCACCCGGUUUCAGUGAGCUGUGAUCAAACCACCGCACUCCAGCCUGGGCAACAGAUUGAGACCCCAUAUUAAACAAAAAGAAUCUGAGCAACAAGGAAUUGGAAAAUAAAAUUUAAAAGCAACACCAAUAA